rnacentral:lncRNA from 1 species
CGCUAAGCGCAUGAUAUAUGGCGCUCAGCGCCAUGCAAUUUCUAGAGUACUGGCCAAAAUGCGCUUAGCACUUGCCAGUGGCGCUGAGCUGUUCUGUUCCAAUAAAAAAAACACUUUCAUUUAUUCUUUCUCACUGCUCGAGAGUCAAUCUCACUCGUCCCUUUCCCUUGCUCGCUUCUCUUCCUCUCUCACUCACUCACCUCAUCAACACAUUUUAUCACUCACACACUAACUCUUCAUCCAUCUCACUCGUCUUGCUCCCUCUCCUUGAUUCUGAUUUUUUCUUUUUCUUUUCCCUUUCUUCCCACGUGGUUCAAGUAAGUUGAUCCUUUCUUUUCUUUUUUUCAAUUCCAUGCAUUUAAACUUAGAUUUAGAGAGUCUUAAAUUUCUGGUGGUGAAGUGAUAUUGAACUGUUCAAGCACGAAUUUCUCAUGUGGAUUUCAAUCUUUAAUCAAUGGCAUGGACCCUAGGGUGUUAAAAUGAUUUAUCUUAUGAAUCCUAGAACUGAAUUGGGGAUGUGUGAUUCUUUGGGUUCAGUGGUUAAUUGAAUGUUUUAUUAUGAAAUCGACACUACAUUGUUGAAGGAUUAUCUAAUUUGGUGAAGAAACUCACUCUCUUGUAUCAAAAUUCAAUGAACCAUUGCAAUGCACACUAGGUGUUUGAUGAUUUGUGUAAGUGAAAUCUGUUUUGAAAUUGCUUGAGGAUAAUUAGGGGAUUAAAUUCUGGAAUUUGGGACUUGAGUGCCUAAUAUUUUCUCUCAUGUUCUAAUGAGUUUGGUAUAUAAUUCAAUGUCACUUGUUGAAAGCUAUUGAGUUGACAUGAGCGACGUGAUUCCUCAAUGUUGUUUAUUGGUUUCUAAUUAAGGGUUGAGGUGUUACUUUGGUUGAAAUCGUUGAUAAUAUGAAUCUUGCUUAAACUGAAUUGGUUUCUUGGUUCUCUUUGUGUUUGGUUUCUAAGAUUAUUUUGCCUUGAUUGGUGAGCGUUGAUUAUUGUAAAAUGAAAACUUGUGCUCUUGCUUAUGACAUGACUUACAAAUGCCUUGAAUUGAAAUGAGAAAUGAAGUCAUAAGUGAUUCUUGCAUCUUUUCUUUGCUUGUACAUUUUAAUUUUUCUAAUUUGUGAGAAUUACUCUUCUUGUGUUUUUCAGGAUGGUAAGACUAAAAGUGCGGGUGCGGAAAGAACCACCAUGUCAAACACCUACCGAGGAUUCACCGCCAUUGGUUUCGUUGCCAUACGAUAGACACACAUUCAGAUCACAAGCUCACUAUCAUAGAUAC